ensembl:snRNA U1 U1 spliceosomal RNA
ACAUUUUCCUGGUGGGGGAGAUACUAUGGUCAGUGAAAUGAUUUUUCCAGUUUAAGAUUUAUCUAUUACAAAUCCGCUUUCUUAACACCUUGGGUUUCCACAAUGUAGGAAAUGCAACUGAAGGACUUAUAUUUGGAGUUUGGGGGGUUGAAUUCUUUCUCUCCCCUA